rnacentral:rRNA from 1 species
UACGAGGGGGGCAAGCGUUGUCCGGAAUCACUGGGCGUAAAGAGCGUGUAGGCGGUCUGCCAAGUCUGUUGUGAAAGCGCCUGGCUUAACUGGGCGAGGUCGACGGAAACUGGCAAACUGGAGGCCGGUAGAGGAGGGUGGAAUUCCCGGUGUAGUGGUGAAAUGCGUAGAGAUCGGGAGGAACACCAGUGGCGAAGGCGGCCCUCUGGGCCGGGCCUGACGCUGAGACGCGAGGGCGUGGGGAGCGAAGCGGGAUUGAGAUACCCGUGGUGAGUCCA